CGAACUACCUUAUCAAACUACCAAGUAAUAUGAUUUGCUAGAAACUGAUGCUUAAAGCUUUGCAGCAGCAUAUCCAGGCAGGUGGAACCGAGCAGGAAGCUUUAGAUCUUCCCAUUCUUCAUCAACUACUUUCAAAAAGUACUGCUCAACCAUACUAUUACUGAUGAGCUCCAAUUUAGAAGGUUCCCACUUUGGGUUCUUAUCUUUGUCCAACAGUAUAGCUCUGCAACCCUCAAAGAAAUCUUUGCUAAGUUUUCCCUGCAUUACAUGGCAAACCAUUCUAUACUCACGAACAAGGCAUUGACCGACACCUUGGAGCCUUCCUUCUCUGAUCAAUCUAAGAGAAAUCUUAAGACUUGUUGGAGAAGCCUUCUUCAGUGACUGAAUAGUGGUAGUUAUCCAAGCAUCUGCCUUAUUCAUGGCCUCCCUCUCAAGGGCAGAUAAAAUCUCUUCAACUGUUCUCCGAGAGAAGCAUCUAUCAAUAACAUCCAACCGUAGACAGGCACUUUGCUCUUUCAAAUAUGGUUGCUGAGAGUAUUUAUCAAUGAUAGAUGAAAUAGUCACUGGAUCACUUGAAUCUUCUUUGUGUAAUGCUUCUUCUAACAAAGACAACUUCGCUGAUGGGACAAAGUGAGUUGCAAGGCCAGACUCCAGCAUUUCAGCACCAUCCAAUUUGGCACCUGUAAGUCCAACAUACUCUCCAAAGAAUCGAGGAAGUCUUGACAAGAAAUAAGAGGCACCUACAUCAGGGAAGAGUCCUAGAGCUGUUUCAGGCAUUGCAAAGACCGAAUUCUCAGUUGCAACACGAAAUCUUCCAUGUAUAGAAGCACCAGCACCACCUCCCAUGACAAUUCCAUUAAGGAUAGAAACCUGGGGUUUAGCAUAUGUUGCCAUCACAUAGUUUAAAAUGUAUUCCUUCGCAAAGAACUUGGCACCUAAUUUCCAAUCACCUUCACGAAUAUAACGAACCACAGCAGAAACAUCACCACCUGCGCAAAAUGCUCUUCCAUUUCCCUUAAGAACAAGCAACUUGACAUUGGGAUCCUCCUCAUAAGCAAUGAAAAGCUCCAGUAGGCGAGAAACCAUUUGAUUGGAAAGGGCAUUCAACUGUCUAGGCCUGUUUAAUAUCAAAGUUCUUGCAGACAAGGUCUCUUCCACCAGAACCUGAUCAUCCUGGGCUUUGACUGAGGCCGAGGUACAAGAAGCCAUUGAUUUUCAGCUUCGAUAUUAUCAGGCAAGCAUAAUAUAACAAAGGAACGGAGGCUCCUGUCCUCGGCUGGGGUUCUAUUUGCACUUUGGAAUUUGAUUGGUCUUGCUUUUGUGCAUU
rnacentral:misc_RNA from 1 species